UUAAGCGACUAAGCGUACACGGUGGAUGCCCUGGCAGUCAGAGGCGAUGAAGGACGUGCUAAUCUGCGAAAAGCGUCGGUAAGGUGAUAUGAACCGUUAUAACCGGCGAUGUCCGAAUGGGGAAACCCAGUGCAAUUCGUUGCACUAUCGUUAACUGAAUACAUAGGUUAACGAGGCGAACCGGGGGAACUGAAACAUCUAAGUACCCCGAGGAAAAGAAAUCAACCGAGAUUCCCCCAGUAGCGGCGAGCGAACGGGGAGCAGCCCAGAGUCUGAAUCAGCUUGUGUGUUAGUGGAACGGUCUGGAAAGUCCGACGGUACAGGGUGAUAGUCCCGUACACCAAAAUGCACAGGUUGUGAACUCGAAGAGUAGGGCGGGACACGUGGUAUCCUGUCUGAAUAUGGGGGGACCAUCCUCCAAGGCUAAAUACUCCUGACUGACCGAUAGUGAACCAGUACCGUGAGGGAAAGGCGAAAAGAACCCCGGCGAGGGGAGUGAAAAAGAACCUGAAACCGUGUACGUACAAGCAGUGGGAGCACCUUCGGGUGUGACUGCGUACCUUUUGUAUAAUGGGUCAGCGACUUAUAUUCUGUAGCAAGGUUAACCGUAUAGGGGAGCCGCAGGGAAACCGAGUCUUAACUGGGCGUUAAGUUGCAGGGUAUAGACCCGAAACCCGGUGAUCUAGCCAUGGGCAGGUUGAAGGUUGGGUAACACUAACUGGAGGACCGAACCGACUAAUGUUGAAAAAUUAGCGGAUGACUUGUGGCUGGGGGUGAAAGGCCAAUCAAACCGGGAGAUAGCUGGUUCUCCCCGAAAGCUAUUUAGGUAGCGCCUCGUGAACUCAUCUUCGGGGGUAGAGCACUGUUUCGGCUAGGGGGUCAUCCCGACUUACCAACCCGAUGCAAACUACGAAUACCGAAGAAUGUUAUCACGGGAGACACACGGCGGGUGCUAACGUCCGUCGUGAAGAGGGAAACAACCCAGACCGCCAGCUAAGGUCCCAAAGUCAUGGUUAAGUGGGAAACGAUGUGGGAAGGCACAGACAGCCAGGAUGUUGGCUUAGAAGCAGCCAUCAUUUAAAGAAAGCGUAAUAGCUCACUGGUCGAGUCGGCCUGCGCGGAAGAUGUAACGGGGCUAAACCAUGCACCGAAGCUGCGGCAGCGACACUAUGUGUUGUUGGGUAGGGGAGCGUUCUGUAAGCCUGCGAAGGUGACCUGUGAGGGUUGCUGGAGGUAUCAGAAGUGCGAAUGCUGACAUAAGUAACGAUAAAGCGGGUGAAAAGCCCGCUCGCCGGAAGACCAAGGGUUCCUGUCCAACGUUAAUCGGGGCAGGGUGAGUCGACCCCUAAGGCGAGGCCGAAAGGCGUAGUCGAUGGGAAACAGGUUAAUAUUCCUGUACUUGGUGUUACUGCGAAGGGGGGACGGAGAAGGCUAUGUUAGCCGGGCGACGGUUGUCCCGGUUUAAGCAUGUAGGCUGGUUAUCCAGGCAAAUCCGGAUAAUCAAGGCUGAGGUGUGAUGACGAGGCACUACGGUGCUGAAGUAACAAAUGCCCUGCUUCCAGGAAAAGCCUCUAAGCAUCAGGUAACAUCAAAUCGUACCCCAAACCGACACAGGUGGUCAGGUAGAGAAUACCAAGGCGCUUGAGAGAACUCGGGUGAAGGAACUAGGCAAAAUGGUGCCGUAACUUCGGGAGAAGGCACGCUGGUGUGUAGGUGAAGCCCCUGCGGGUGGAGCUGAGACCAGUCGAAGAUACCAGCUGGCUGCAACUGUUUAUUAAAAACACAGCACUGUGCAAACACGAAAGUGGACGUAUACGGUGUGACGCCUGCCCGGUGCCGGAAGGUUAAUUGAUGGGGUUAUCCGUAAGGAGAAGCUCUUGAUCGAAGCCCCGGUAAACGGCGGCCGUAACUAUAACGGUCCUAAGGUAGCGAAAUUCCUUGUCGGGUAAGUUCCGACCUGCACGAAUGGCGUAAUGAUGGCCAGGCUGUCUCCACCCGAGACUCAGUGAAAUUGAACUCGCUGUGAAGAUGCAGUGUACCCGCGGCAAGACGGAAAGACCCCGUGAACCUUUACUAUAGCUUGACACUGAACAUUGAGCCUUGAUGUGUAGGAUAGGUGGGAGGCUUUGAAGCGUGGACGCCAGUCUGCGUGGAGCCAACCUUGAAAUACCACCCUUUAAUGUUUGAUGUUCUAACGUUGGCCCCUGACCGGGGUUGCGGACAGUGUCUGGUGGGUAGUUUGACUGGGGCGGUCUCCUCCCAAAGCGUAACGGAGGAGCACGAAGGUUAGCUAAUCCUGGUCGGACAUCAGGAGGUUAGUGCAAUGGCAUAAGCUAGCUUGACUGCGAGCGUGACGGCGCGAGCAGGUGCGAAAGCAGGUCAUAGUGAUCCGGUGGUUCUGAAUGGAAGGGCCAUCGCUCAACGGAUAAAAGGUACUCCGGGGAUAACAGGCUGAUACCGCCCAAGAGUUCAUAUCGACGGCGGUGUUUGGCACCUCGAUGUCGGCUCAUCACAUCCUGGGGCUGAAGUAGGUCCCAAGGGUAUGGCUGUUCGCCAUUUAAAGUGGUACGCGAGCUGGGUUUAGAACGUCGUGAGACAGUUCGGUCCCUAUCUGCCGUGGGCGCUGGAGAAUUGAGGGGGGCUGCUCCUAGUACGAGAGGACCGGAGUGGACGCAUCACUGGUGUUCGGGUUGUCAUGCCAAUGGCACUGCCCGGUAGCUAAAUGCGGAAGAGAUAAGUGCUGAAAGCAUCUAAGCACGAAACUUGCCCCGAGAUGAGUUCUCCCUGAGACUUUAAGUCUCCUGAAGGAACGUUGAAGACGACGACGUUGAUAGGCCGGGUGUGUAAGCGCAGCGAUGCGUUGAGCUAACCGGUACUAAUGAACCGUGAGGCUUAACCUU
rnacentral:rRNA from 1 species